GAUGGGCCCACAGCACCAAUUCCCCUCCCGGGAGGAACCGAAACCUCAGGGCCAAACCCUGAAAUGGGGAGAGCUGGAGGCGGUGCGGGGUUGGGGCUGCGCCUGCGCAGGGAGAAGAGAACCGAAAAGUUGUAGCAUGGUUUAGGUUGGAAGAACCUUCCAUGGCCCUACAGGAGACUUAUGGCAACUGGUUGGGUCCUCCUCCGGUCCCUGCCAAGCGGCCGGUGAGACAAGCAGGGAUUUACUCUGCUGCUGGAAAAAUGACACCCAUGAAUGACUUCAGGCCGGAUUUACCAAAACGACCCCAAACUCUGCAGAGGGAACGAUUAGAUUCGAUGCUUUCCAAAGGAUUGAGGCCAGUUGUUGGCAGGCAAUUCUGUGCUGCUUUUGUGCUAAUUUUGUGCUAAUUGGCACAAAACCCACUUUUCCCCUUCUUGUCCUUCCCCCACAGC
rnacentral:lncRNA from 1 species